rnacentral:lncRNA from 1 species
AUAGCUGUCAAUGCUAUCUGGCCAUAGUUGUCAAUGCUAUGUGGGCAUAACCAUUUGAUCCUGAGAAUCUUUCAGGAGUAACCAUCUGAUCUUGAGAAUCACAAUCAAAUAACUACACCAGAUUUAGUCAGUCUAUCUAUCAAAAAUAGUUACAUAGCCAUCUCCUCUAUAAAUAUUCAAACUUCGAGGAUCCAGAUAAGUAAUUCAUCUCAGAAAGUUAAAACUUAGCUUCUCUAUUUGCGCAUUCAGAUUUGAGCAUCGGAGGAUCUUCGUCGAAGUACAAUCAUCC